GGUAAAUAAAAACAGAUCUGCAUUGUCUAAGGGAGUGUCCAAGAGAUUAUCUCGAGGCUUUUCUGCCAUGGACACUAAAUGUUUCACAGUUAUGUAAUGGUUCUCCUGAAGUAGGUAAAUCUGGAAGCAAGGUGGCAGGGUUAGGAGUUGAACAGCGUUUCAAGGUAUCUGUUUAGGCUGGGCCAAAAGGCCCAAGCCCUUAGAUAGCUGGGGCAAAGAAAAGAGAUCAGUCCCUAUUACUCACGUGACCAAAAUGGAGAAACAGUCUCAGGGGCCCCCACCUUCAGCUUCCUUCAGAGCAAGCUUCUCAGAGUCCUAAAGUAAUCUUAAGAAGGGAAGAGAAGGAACCUCCCAUGCCAAUGGGGUUCCCAUUCCAAUAGACUAUCAGUAAGAAAUUUUCCAAGUAUGAAAUAUCCCAAUGGUGAAAUUUCCAACAUUUAUAAGUCUAAGGAAUUUUGAGGUUUACAUAUCACACAUUCCUUUAUUUUAAUGAAAAAAUGUGCAUGAUACCCAUUUUGUUUUUGCUUCUUUUUCAGUUUCUCGGCUGAAUUCUGUGGAUGCAGUUAUCCAUUGAAGGCUUUUGUUCUGCUCUUGAGUCUUAGCAACUUUCUCACUCCAUUUGAAGGUAUGGGGACACAAAAAUAGAUAUGCCGUAGACCCUAAAGAAGUAUAUAGUCUAAUGUGGGUAGUAUGGGAGGAAGACGUAGCAGUACAACAAUGACAAAAACAGUAUGGGGACUUCACGUGAUCUUGAGUCUCAGGACUCUUGGAGUGGCUGUUGUGGAUCUGAUACGGUGUUUCUAGGUCAUCAUUGGAAUCACCAUGGUUAGUCACUGUUGGCUACUUUUUCCCCUCAGAAUCAAAGUGUUUUGUUUGGCU
rnacentral:lncRNA from 1 species